GACGAACGCUGGCGGCGUGCUUAACACAUGCAAGUCGAACGGAAAGGCCUUUUCGGAGGUACUCGAGUGGCGAACGGGUGCGUAACACGUGGGUGAUCUGCCCUUCACUCUGGGAUAAGCCUGGGAAACUGGGUCUAAUACCGGAUAGGACCGCACUUUAGUGUGUGUGGUGGCAAGUUUUUUCGGUGUAGGAUGAGCCCGCGGGCUAUCAGCUUGUUGGUGGGGUAAUGGCCUACCAAGGCGGCGACGGGUAGCCGGACUGAGGGGUUGGUCGGCCACAUUGGGACUGAGAGACGGCCCAGACUCCUACGGGAGGCAGCAGGGGGGAAUAUUGCACAAUGGGCGCAAGCCGGAUGCAGCGACGCCGCGUGGGGGAUGACGGCCUUAGGGUUGUAAACUCCUUUCGCCAGGGACGAAGCGUUUUGUGACGGUACCUGGAGAAGAAGCACCGGCUAACUACGUG
rnacentral:rRNA from 1 species